UACGUAGGGUGCAAGCGUUGUCCGGAAUCAUUGGGCGUAAAGAGCGUGUAGGCGGCUCGGUAAGUCCGCUGUGAAAGUCCAGGGCUCAACCCUGGAAUGCCGGUGGAAACUGUCGAGCUAGAGUCCGGAAGAGGCGAGUGGAAUUCCCGGUGUAGCGGUGAAAUGCGCAGAUAUCGGGAGGAACACCUAUGGCGAAGGCAGCUCGCUGGGACGUUACUGACGCUGAGACGCGAAAGCGUGGGGAGCAAACAGG
rnacentral:rRNA from 1 species